rnacentral:rRNA from 1 species
AUUGAACGCUGGCGGCAGGCCUAACACAUGCAAGUCGAACGCGUGGCGGACGGGUGAGCUAUGUCUGGGAAACUGCCAGAUGGAGGGGGAUCACUACUGGAAACGGUAGCUAAUCCCGCAUCCCAGCGUAUGCGCCCAGAUGGGAUUAGCUAGUAGGUGGGGUAAUGGCACACCUAGGCGACGAUCCCUAGCUGGUCUGAGAGGAUGACCAGCCACACUGGGACUGAGACACGGUCCAGACUCCUACGGGAGGCAGCAGUGGGGAAUAUUGCACAAUGGGCGCAAGCCUGAUGCAGCCAUGCCGCGUGUAUGAAGAAGGCCUUCGGGUUGUAAAGUACUUUCAGCGGGGAGGCGUUACUCACAGAAGAAGCACCGGCUAACUCCGUGCCAGCAGCCGCGGUAAUAC